rnacentral:tRNA from 1 species
GGAGAGGUGGCAGAGUGGUCGAUUGCGGCGGUCUUGAAAACCGUUGUGCCGGAAGGUACCGGGGGUUCGAAUCCCUCUCUCUGCG